CACCUCUCUGCCAGGCCCCUCAUGGCAGCCAAGCCAUGUAUGGUCCUCACUAAAACUAUAAGUUGUAAGAGGCAGAGAUUUUAAAGGAGGGAAGAGAAUGAGAAAGGGAGGUGAGAAAAGGAGGAGAUAAUCCUCCCUAGGCUCCUCCUUGACCCCCUUGAACUACCUCAUCCAAACUACCAAGCCUCUUCCACUUGCACAUCUGGUUUACAGUGUGCCCUAGGGGCUGCUUUUAUACCACCAGGGUGUGGCUGCAAAAUGGUGGCAACGCCCUACUUAAACGGUCUGCUGCUGCUGCCCUUAGCUCUGUUUGCAUCUUGUCAGCAUCCCUUGUAAUGGCUGUUGGGGUCUGGUGGCUGCCUCAGCUGCCUUAAGUGGCCUCUAUGCUGGAAAAAAAAAGCCCUGACUGCCUCAAUUCCCCCUCGGUUGAAGAAUGUAUCUGCCCUGGAGCUGAUUUCCUUGCUUCACACCCGCUCCUCUUUAGAAGCUCAUGGCUGUGGAUAAGUGCAAGUGCAAUAUUCUUCUCUUCAAGAAUUUUCAGCCACUGUGUACUUCAAAUAACCUGAUGUGUAGUUCAGGAUAUUUUCGGAAAUACUUUUGUGCUUGCUUUACACUACAUACCCACCUGUUGUAAAAUAUAAUUAAGCAUAUGUAUUUAUAUACACAUGCCUAUAAUGAUUUGCAAUCCAUAUGUACAAAGAAGCAAGUUUUCAAAUUAUUUGCCAUGCUCCAUUCUAUCAGGAGUCCCCUCUGCAAGAUGACAGCGUAGCUGUUCAAUGUUAUUGUCUAGUCAACAUCUCAAUCUCUCUCUAUAUGGCUUUGUAUAAAUUGUUUUAAUUUCUUACUUGAUAUGUUAUAGUAAUAAAAUUAAUGUGUUUCAAAAACA
rnacentral:lncRNA from 1 species